rnacentral:rRNA from 1 species
GAUGAACGCUGGCGGCGUGCCUAAUACAUGCAAGUCGAGCGAACAGACGAGGAGCUUGCUCCUCUGACGUUAGCGGCGGACGGGUGAGUAACACGUGGAUAACCUACCUAUAAGACUGGGAUAACUUCGGGAAACCGGAGCUAAUACCGGAUAAUAUAUUGAACCGCAUGGUUCAAUAGUGAAAGACGGUUUUGCUGUCACUUAUAGAUGGAUCCGCGCCGCAUUAGCUAGUUGGUAAGGUAACGGCUUACCAAGGCAACGAUGCGUAGCCGACCUGAGAGGGUGAUCGCCCACACUGGAACUGAGACACGGUCCAGACUCCUACGGGAGGCAGCAGUAGGCAAUCUUCCGCAAUGGGCGAAAGCCUGACGGAGCAACGCCGCGUGAGUGAUGAAGGUCUUCGGAUCGUAAAACUCUGUUAUUAGGGAAGAACAAAUGUGUAAGUAACUAUGCACGUCUUGACGGUACCUAAUCAGAAAGCCACGGCUAACUACGUG